rnacentral:rRNA from 1 species
GAGUUUGAUCGUGGCUCAGAGUGAACGCUGGCGGCAGGCCUAACACAUGCAAGUCGAGCGGCAGCGCGGGGGCAACCCUGGCGGCGAGCGGCGGACGGGUGAGGAAUGCAUCGGAAUCUACCUCGUUGUGGGGGAUAACCUCGGGAAACCGGGACUAAUACCGCAUACGACCUACGGGUGAAAGUGGGGGACCGCAAGGCCUCACGCGAUGAGAUGAGCCGAUGCCGGAUUAGCUAGUUGGCGGGGUAAAGGCCCACCAAGGCGACGAUCCGUAGCUGGUCUGAGAGGAUGAUCAGCCACACUGGAACUGAGACACGGUCCAGACUCCUACGGGAGGCAGCAGUGGGGAAUAUUGGACAAUGGGCGCAAGCCUGAUCCAGCCAUGCCGCGUGUGUGAAGAAGGCCUCGGUU